rnacentral:tRNA from 2 species
GGGGCUGUAGUGUAGCCUGGUAUCACUCAUGCUUGGGGUGCAUGCAACCCGUGUUCGAAUCACGGCAGCCCCA